CCCUUAGAUGUUCUGGGCCGCACGCGCGCUACAAUGAUGAAUUCAACGAGUUUAUAACCUUGGUUGAAACGCCUGGGUAAUCUUUUGAACUUUCGUCGUGAUGGGGCUAGACCCUUGCAAUUAUUGGUCUCCAACGAGGAAUUCCUAGUAAACGCAAGUCAUCAGCUUGCAUUGAUUACGUCCCUGCCCUUUGUACACACCGCCCGUCGCACCUACCGAUUGAAUGGUCCGGUGAAAUCUUCGGAUUGAGACUUUGAUUUCUUCACGGAAAACGCUGUUUUAAAAAGUUGAUUAAACCUUACCAUUUAGAGGAAGGUGAAGUCGUAACA
rnacentral:rRNA from 1 species